UACGUAGGGUGCAAGCGUUAAUCGGAAUUAGCUGGGCGUAAGCGUGCGCAGGCGGUCCGUUAAGACAGAUGUGAAAUCCCCGGGCUUAACCUGGGAACUGCAUUUGUGACUGGCGGACUCGAGUAGUGGCAGAGGGGGUAGAAUUCCACGUGAUAGCAGUGAAAUGCGUAGAGAUGUGGAGGAAUACCCGAUGGCGAAGGCAGCCCCCUGG
rnacentral:rRNA from 1 species